CGGGAUAUAGCGCAGUCUGGUAGCGCACUACACUGGGGGUGUAGUGGUCGUCGGUUCAAAUCCGGCUAUCCCGACCA
rnacentral:tRNA from 1 species